UACGUAGGCAGCAAGCGUUGUUCGGAAUUACUGGGCGUAAAGCGUGUGUAGGCGGCCGCGUAAGUCGGAUGUGAAAGCCCUGGGCUCAACCCAGGAAGUGCACUCGAUACUGCGUGGCUUGAGUACUGGAGAGGUUGGUGGAAUUCUCGGUGUAGAGGUGAAAUUCGUAGAUAUCGAGAGGAACACCGGUGGCGAAGGCGGCCAACUGGACAGAUACUGACGCUGAGACACGAAAGCGUGGGGAGCAAACAGG
rnacentral:rRNA from 1 species